GCUCCGGUCGCCUAGUGGUUAUAGCGUCCGCCUCCAAUUCGGGAGGUUGUGGGUUUGAUCCCCGGCCGUGUGAUGCU